CAAUUGGAGAGUUUGAUCCUGGCUCAGAACGAACGCUGGCGGCGUGCCUAACACAUGCAAGUCGAGGGAGAAAACCCGCAAGGGCGAGUAAACCGGCGAACGGGUGCGUAACACGUGGAUAAUCUACCUUCCUGACUGGGACAACUGGCCGAAAGGCUUGCUAAUACCAGAUAAGCCCACGGGCGCUUUGGCGCCUGAGGGAAAAGGUGGCCUCUGCAUGCAAGCUAUCGCAGGGAGAUGAGUCCGCGGCCCAUCAGCUAGUUGGCGGGGUAAAAGCCCACCAAGGCUACGACGGGUAGCUGGUCUGAGAGGAUGAUCAGCCACACUGGAACUGAGACACGGUCCAGACUCCUACGGGAGGCAGCAGUGGGGAAUCUUGCGCAAUGGGCGAAAGCCUGACGCAG
rnacentral:rRNA from 1 species